GAGCAGUGGAAGAAGUGCAAGGAAUGCUGUGAGGCGUGGAAAGAUGAUCUGGAGGAGACAGACAGAUGUGGCCUUCCUGGACCUCUCUGUCAUUAUGCAGAGAACGACCAGGGACAUGUCCAAGAUGCACCUUCUAAUGAGAUAUGUGAGCUUGGGAGCAUGAAGCCGCCAGCGAACGUUCCCUGGAGGCCACUGGCCAGCAUGAACUUGCCACCCAUGUGAGAGAGCCAGCGUGGAAGUGGAUCCUCUAACCCCAAUCAUGGCUUCAGACAACUGCAGCCCUGACUGACAUCUUGAUCCUGCAACCUUAUGAGAGACCCAGAGACAGAACUACCCAGCUAUGCUAC